rnacentral:rRNA from 1 species
CUACGGGCUGCUGCAGGCAGGAAACCUUUACAAUACACGCAAGUGUGAUAAGGGGACCCAAAGUGCUUGCCUCUGGUGAGCUUUUGUCAAGUGUAAAUAUCUUGACGAAUAAGUGGUGGGCAAGACCGGUGCCAGCAGCCGCGGUAACACCGGCGCCACAAGUGGUAAUCAUGUUUAUUUGGCCUAAAGCGUCCGUAGCAGAUCAUGCCAGUCUUUUGUUAAAUCCUCAUGCUCAACAUGGGGGCCGCAAGAGAUACUACAUGGUUAGGGAUCGGGAGAAGACAGCGGUAUUCCUUGGGUAGCGGUAAAAUGCGAUAAUCCUUGGAAGACCACCGAUGGCGAAGGCAGCUGUCUAGAACGAAUCCGACUGUGAGGGACGAAAGCUAGGGGAGCAAAAGGGAUUAGAUACCCUUGUAGUC